GAGAGGAGACGAUCUCUCAUUCUCUUUCGUGUUGCCGGGAGAGAGAUGUAGCUCAAACCAUGGGACUGUUUAGAAGCAGCCCUGUCUCAAUCAAGCUGCCUAGCUGCUUAGCAUUCCCCCGGCCAGCCUGUUGUUGUUAGAGGAGGUAAGGCAAUAAGUGUCGGAGCAUCCUGGCUGGGGAAUUUAUUCUGCCUAUUGAUCAACUGAUGACUCGGCGCGUUAGCUGCGACUGCGUUGGUAAAGAAGAGAGAUUGAGGCGUUGUCAGCCUCAUGUCUGAGAGAAAGGACAGAGGGGCUGUCGAUGACUCAUACAGCUUGUGAAAUCCAGAGGUUACAUAUCCUUGCCUGGCUACCCAGACUGCUUGCUCCAUCCAAACACUGCGAGACACCCACGGACGUAAGGUUCUUCUCCACAAUGAGUGUGGAUCUGAGUACCUCCCAGACUCUUCACCGAAUGCGAACGUAUUUGGGGGUCGUCUGAUUGUACCAGAAACCGAUGGGUUGGGCCAGAGCCAGAACACACGUGGGUAAAGCAGCGGUUUGAAAAUGUUUAUUUGGCUUUGAUACUCUGAUUGGUUAGAAACGAUCCAAUCGCUGAUAACUUUUUUUGAACAACGGAACAGUGGAAGAAUUCAGUGUGAGUCGUAAGGCUAUACAUGUCCCUCGCAUUAGGCUCGUCCAUUUAGGCCCCUCACCCAGACCACUCCCAGACAGUCCUAGCAAAAUUAUUGCUUGAGAAAUUCCUCUUUACUAAGAAGCUAUUUUUGUAUCUCUUUUACAAUUUUAAUUGAAAACAAUCACAGUAAGUUUUUUUUUUUACUGUUACCAGAAAUAAUUGUUACCCAAAAUAAUUUGAUAAAUAGAUUAAAACAAUGUCUGCAUUGGACCUUUAAAGGUAAUUUCCUGCGAUUCUUCAUAUUCUGUCCUGGAGCUGAGAUUAUAAUAUUUUUUUUCAGUUUCAAAGCUAAUUUCCUUCAAUUCUAUUCAUUUUGUCAUGGCUAUGGCUAAUGCUGUGUUAUUUUGCUCAUACAAAGUAACACAAUCCAUACUGGUAAAUUCAUUGUUUUUGGAGUUGUUUUGUUUUACUCUAGUGUCAAAAUUGACGACAAAGUGUAAAUAGGAUCCUUUUGGUCAUGAAGUCAGUCUUGUCCAAAAUUUGAUUUGGAAGUGAGUGCGCCAUGACGGGUAUGGGUUUGUUACAUGCCCACUUUUGCCAAUGAUGUCCAAUUGCCCACACACACUUGCUCGGCAUAGGAGUGAAAAUGGGCUUCCUUAAAGUUGGUGCAAACUUGAUGGCAAGAUGGACUACAUACAACAAACGUACGACAUCAUGGCUGUGACUGGUGUGUGGUGAGUAGCUAGCUAUGAUACUGUGAUGUAACUCGCUAAAUACAUAGCCUCUCCCUAAUGUGAUAUAAUGUCAUAGACAGGAAGAUUUGCAUAGCUAACGUUGCACCUGACGAGAAGGUUUGAUAGGAUGUAACUGUGGCCAUGUUGCUAUCGUUAACGUUUCCACUCGAACUGCCGAGCUAAGAAGAUCUCCAGUAGCUAAAGUUAGGUAGCUAGCCAAAUAAUUUCAACUAGGAUAAAAAUAUUGAUAACUAAUCCAGAUUUGCACGUUAGGUAGCUAGCUACUUUUAUGAGAACAGGCAUGUUGUUUGGGUUAGCACUUGCCCUCGAAAACAGGCCCUGGCGGCAUUCUGCCUUUUAUUGAUCAAGGGCUAGGUUAUUUAGCACUAGCUAGCUAGCAUUCGGGGGCUUCAUCUGCUACUAGUGCUAAAACAACACGCCUGCUCUCGUGAAAGUCUGUUGUGUAUUUUCUAAUGCAAAAAUAAAUGAAAGAUGGCACUUGUCUAGACCGAGUACCAGUCUUUUAAGCUAGCAUGCUACAAAUACGUGUCAGUGAGCAUUCGGCAAUGUAUCGUUACACCGCUACUUGCAUAGUACCAGCGUCAUGCAGCGUCAUUGGCCUGAA